GGGGAUUUAGCUCAGCGGCAUAAGCGCCUGUCUUGGAAGCAGGCAGUCGUGAGUUCAAUCCCCG
rnacentral:tRNA from 1 species